rnacentral:rRNA from 1 species
GACGAACGCUGGCGGCGUGCUUAACACAUGCAAGUCGAACGGUGAAGCGCCUUCCUUUUUGGUGGGUGUGGAUGAGUGGCGAACGGGUGAGUAACACGUGGGUAACCUGCCCCCUUCUUCUGGAUAACCGCAUGAAAGUGUGGCUAAUACGGGAUAUUCUGGGUCUGUCGCAUGAUGGGUCUGGGAAAGAUAUUGUUUCGGUGGGGGAUGGGCUCGCGGCCUAUCAGGUUGUUGGGGGGGUGAUGGCCUACCAAGGCGGUGACGGGUAGCCGGCCUGAGGGGGUGGCCGGUCGAACGGGGAAUGGGACACGGCCAAGACUACUAGGGGAGGCAGCAGUGGGGAAUAGUGCACAAGGGGAGAAAGGCUGAUGCAGCGACGCCGCGUGAGGGAUGGAGGCCUUCGGGUUGUGAACCUCUUUCGCCAGUGAAGCAGGCCUGCCUCGUUUGUGGGUGGGUUGACGGUAGCUGGAUAAGAAGCGCCGGCUAACUACGUG